GGUGGGCUGGCGUAAUGGCAACGCGUCAGUUUCCGGAGAGGUCCAACAGCUGAAGAUUCUGGGUUCGAUCCCCAGGCUCAUCG